rnacentral:rRNA from 1 species
AACGAACGCUGGCGGCAUGCCUAACACAUGCAAGUCGAACGAGACCUUCGGGUCUAGUGGCGCACGGGUGCGUAACGCGUGGGAACCUGCCCUUAGGUUCGGAAUAACUCCCCGAAAGGGGUGCUAAUACCGGAUAAUGUCUUCGGACCAAAGAUUUAUCGCCUUUGGAUGGGCCCGCGUUGGAUUAGCUAGUUGGUAGGGUAAAAGCCUACCAAGGCGACGAUCCAUAGCUGGUCUGAGAGGAUGAUCAGCCACACUGGGACUGAGACACGGCCCAGACUCCGACGGGGGGCGGGAGGGGGGAAUAUUGGAAAAGGGGCAAAAUCCUGACCCACAAAGGCCGGGGGGGGGAAAAAGGCCUUGGGGUUUUAAAGCCUUUUUCCCGGGGAUAAAAAAGACAGUACGGGGAAAAAAAGCCCCGGCAAACCCCGU